GGAUGAACGCUGGCGGCGUGCCUAAUACAUGCAAGUCGAGCGAACGGACGAGAAGCUUGCUUCUCUGAUGUUAGCGGCGGACGGGUGAGUAACACGUGGAUAACCUACCUAUAAGACUGGGAUAACUUCGGGAAACCGUAGCUAAUACCGGAUAAUAUUUUGAACCGCAUGGUUCAAAAGUGAAAGACGGUCUUGCUGUCACUUAUAGAUGGAUCCGCGCUGCAUUAGCUAGUUGGUAAGGUAACGGCUUACCAAGGCAACGAUACAUAGCCGACCUGAGAGGGUGAUCGGCCACACUGGAACUGAGACACGGUCCAGACUCCUACGGGAGGCAGCAGUAGGGAAUCUUCCGCAAUGGGCGAAAGCCUGACGGAGCAACGCCGCGUGAGUGAUGAAGGUCUUCGGAUCGUAAAACUCUGUUAUUAGGGAAGAACAUAUGUGUAAGUAACUGUGCACAUCUUGACGGUACCUAAUCAGAAAGCCACGGCUAACUACGUG
rnacentral:rRNA from 1 species